rnacentral:rRNA from 1 species
CGUGCGGUUCUAUUUUGUUGGCUUCUAGGACCGCCGUAAUGAUUAAUAGGGAUAGUCGGGGGCAUCAGUAUUCAAUUGUCAGAGGUGAAAUUCUUGGAUUUAUUGAAGACUAACUACUGCGAAAGCAUUUGCCAAGGAUGUUUUCAUUAAUCAGGAACGAAAGUUAGGGGAUCGAAGACGAUCAGAUACCGUCGUAGUCUUAACCAUAAACUAUGCCGACUAGGGAUCGGUCGAUGUUAUCUUUUUGACUCGAUCGGCACCUUACGAGAAAUCAAAGUUUUUGGGUUCUGGGGGGAGUAUGGUCGCAAGGCUGAAACUUAAAGAAAUUGACGGAAGGGCACCACCAGGAGUGGAGCCUGCGGCUUAAUUUGAUUCAACACGG